rnacentral:rRNA from 1 species
GCGUGCGCAGGCGGUUAUAUAAGACAGAUGUGAAAUCCCCGGGCCUCAACCUGGGAACUGCAUUUGUGACUGUAUAGCUGGAGUGCGGCAGAGGGGGAGUGGAAUUCCGCGUGUAGCAGUGAAAUGCGUAGAUAUGCGGAGGAACACCGAUGGCGAAGGCAAUCCCCUCGGGCCUGCACUGACGCUCAUGCACGAAAGCGUGGGGAGCAAACAGGAUUAGAUACCCGAGU